CACAUGCAGUCGAGCGGUAGAGAGAAAGCUUGCUUCUCUUGAGAGCGGCGGACGGGUGAGUAAUGCCUAGGAAUCUGCCUGGUAGUGGGGGAUAACGUUCGGAAACGGACGCUAAUACCGCAUACGUCCUACGGGAGAAAGCAGGGGACCUUCGGGCCUUGCGCUAUCAGAUGAGCCUAGGUCGGAUUAGCUAGUUGGUGAGGUAAUGGCUCACCAAGGCGACGAUCCGUAACUGGUCUGAGAGGAUGAUCAGUCACACUGGAACUGAGACACGGUCCAGACUCCUACGGGAGGCAGCAGUGGGGAAUAUUGGACAAUGGGCGAAAGCCUGAUCCAGCCAUGCCGCGUGUGUGAAGAAGGUCUUCGGAUUGUAAAGCACUUUAAGUUGGGAGGAAGGGCAGUUACCUAAUACGUGAUUGUUUUGACGUUACCGACAGAAUAAGCACCGGCUAACUCUGUGCCAGCAGCCGCGGUAAUACAGAGGGUGCAAGCGUUAAUCGGAAUUACUGGGCGUAAAGCGCGCGUAGGUGGUUAGUUAAGUUGGAUGUGAAAUCCCCG
rnacentral:rRNA from 1 species